rnacentral:rRNA from 1 species
AUUGAACGCUGGCGGCAGGCCUAACACAUGCAAGUCGAACGGUGACAGGAAGAAGCUUGCUUCUUUGCUGACGAGUGGCGGACGGGUGAGUAAUGUCUGGGAAACUGCCUGAUGGAGGGGGAUAACUACUGGAAACGGUAGCUAAUACCGCAUAAUGUCGCAAGACCAAAGAGGGGGACCUUCGGGCCUCUUGCCACCGGAUGUGCCCAGAUGGGAUUAGCUAGUAGGUGGGGUAACGGCUCACCUAGGCGACGAUCCCUAGCUGGUCUGAGAGGAUGACCAGCCACACUGGAACUGAGACACGGUCCAGACUCCUACGGGAGGCAGCAGUGGGGAAUAUUGCACAAUGGGCGCAAGCCUGAUGCAGCUAUGCCGCGUGUAUGAAGAAGGCCUUCGGGUUGUAAAGUACUUUCAGCGGGGAGGAAGGGAGUAAAGUUAAUACCUUUGCUCAUUGACGUUACCCGCAGAAGAAGCACCGGCUAACUCCGUG